CCUACGGGUGGCUGCAGUGGGGAAUUUUGGACAAUGGGGGAAACCCUGAUCCAGCCAUGCCGCGUGCAGGAUGAAGGCCUUCGGGUUGUAAACUGCUUUUGUACGGAACGAAAAGGUUCUCUCUAAUAAAGGGGGCUCAUGACGGUACCGUAAGAAUAAGCACCGGCUAACUACGUGCCAGCAGCCGCGGUAAUACGUAGGGUGCAAGCGUUAAUCGGAAUUACUGGGCGUAAAGCGUGCGCAGGCGGUUUUGUAAGACAGAGGUGAAAUCCCCG
rnacentral:rRNA from 1 species